AUUGAACGCUGGCGGCAGGCCUAACACAUGCAAGUCGAGCGAGCGGCGGACGGGUGAGUAAUGUAUGGGAAUCUGCCCGAUAGAGGGGGAUAACUACUGGAAACGGUGGCUAAUACCGCAUACUAUAGGAUGACCCCAGAUGGGAUUAGCUAGUAGGUGGGGUAAAGGCUCACCUAGGCGACGAUCGCUAGCUGGUCUGAGAGGAUGAUCAGCCACACUGGAACUGAGACACGGCCCAGACUCCUACGGUAGGCAGCAGUGGGGAAUAUUGCACAAUGGGCGCAAGCCUGAUGCAGCCAUGCCGCGUGUAUGAAGAAGGCCUUAGGGUUGUAAAGCACUUUCAGCGGGGAGGCGUUACUCGCAGAAGAAGCACCGGCUAACUCCGUGCCAGCAGCCGCGGUAAUUC
rnacentral:rRNA from 1 species